GAUGAACGCUAGCGGCGAGGCUUAACACAUGCAAGUCGAGGGGCGAGCGAGUAGAGUAGCAAUACUUUGAUGGCGACCGGCGGACGGGUGCGUAACGCGUAUGCAACCUACCCUUUACAGGGGGAUAACACUGAGAAAUUGGUACUAAUACCCCAUAAUAUUUCGGGAGGCAUCUCUUGGAGUUGAAAGCUUCGGUGGUAAAGGAUGGGCAUGCGUUGUAUUAGCUAGUUGGUGAGGUAACGGCUCACCAAGGCGACGAUACAUAGGGGGACUGAGAGGUUAACCCCCCACAUUGGUACUGAGACACGGACCAA
rnacentral:rRNA from 1 species